AGGGAGGGUUUUUAAAGGCAAAAUUUGGAGUUAGGGUCCCCGGGUGGAGUGGCGCUCAGUGAUCGGUGGAGAGUGAAGUCAUGUUCUUAAGGUGUCACCCCCUGUUCUUUGAGUGCAGCGAGCUGGGCUGGAGAGGGUCUGUUGGGCUUCUAAGACCGUGACUUCGAAAACCAUCUAUUGCUAGCACCCUGAGACAGUACAUCCUGUGAUUCCCGUGCCCGGCAAUGUGGCGCGUUUACAUGACCGUAAGUGUUCCCUCGCUGUUUACGACUACGGUCACCUUAACAACACACAGCUAAAGCCCUACCGGGGUGAUCGGCAGUGACACACCUGUCACUGCAUCGUUCCCAGGUGGCCGCAUUCCCGCCCUGGUUUUCUGCGCUGUCUCCGGCCUGUGCACCUGCGGGCCUGGGCAGAUGGCGACAAGAGACGCUGGAGAAAGGCAAGGAUGAAUUCCACUACUGGCUUCCCACACAAGAGACCAGAUCUGCCGUUCUGGGAUAAAACCCCGCUGAUCACAGACAGAGGCCGCUGUCACCAAUUUGCCUUCUCACCGUUCUGCAGGCCAGAGGUCUGCGAUCAGGUGUGGCCAGGGCCGUGUUCCCGCAGGAGGCUCCAGGGGAGGACCCUUCCUCACCUUCCCCAGAUUCUGGUGGUGCCCACCCAUCCUUGGCGUUCCUUGGUUUAUGACUUCCGCGUCCAUCAUACGUUGUUUGCUCUGUACAUCUGUCUUCCUGAGACGUUCUCUUCUCCGCCUGUCUUCUGCCGUUCUUACAAGGACACCAGUCACAUGGGACCAAGGGCCCACGCUAAUCCAGGAUGACCUCGUCGUAGUCUAACUAACUGGAUCCGCGGAGACCCUAUUUCCAAAUGUGGGCACCUGCACAGGUGGCCGGCACAAGGUGGUUCCUCGUGGUUGGGACCGAGGUGUCCAGAGGUCCCGGUCUUCUUGCCGGCUGUCACGGGCUGCCGUCAGCCCCCAGAGCCCACGAGCGCGAUUACAAUUUGGCAAAGCUCAGGACGGACGGAUUAGGGAGCUGUUUGUUCCAGUAGUGACCGCACCCCGAGGGGUCGCCCCCACCGCGGUCUCCCACAACGCCAGCUCCUGUCCACACUGCAGGAUGCUUCUCUCUACCGCGAUGGGCCACCCCUCCGAGGAGCGUCCAACAGAGGAAAUGACCCCAGAGAGCCACAAGUCCAGGAGGUACACGUACAGCCAAGCGCAGGGCUUUGUCCCCUCGUCAAGGGGGUGGCUGCCAGCCGCUGGCAUCCCGUGGGUCACAUCUUACAACCCUACAGGCAACACAUCUUCCGUGUUGGCCAAAAUAGCGCUCAGGAAACGUCACUCGGGAUCCCAGCUUUGUCACUGCCCCCUCCGGGGCCCAGCCUCAAGCACAUCACACCCUCAUCCCUGGGACACACACGGAGCUGGGAAGGACACAACAGAAGCGGGACGCUGGGCAGGUGGAGACAACACACGGACAUUUUGUUUUGGUUUGUGGCUCCCUGAGCGUCCCUCGUGCAGACAGAACGGCUGAGAAGUACGCGUUCGGGGCGGUGCGGAUGCCGAGGGGCCUCACGUCAGAAAGGAGUGUCCAGCAUCGGGUGGGGUGGGGGGUGCCUUG